rnacentral:lncRNA from 1 species
AAAAAAAGGAUAAAAUAACGUGGGGGAGCGUUGGGGGUUGAACCCUUGACCUUGGGAUCAUGGGGUCAACCCCCAUCCACUUGGCCAUGCGCCUUGUGGGGACUACUAAACGCGCUCAGCAAAUAAUAUAUUAAGGUUAAACAAUAAACGAAACACCCGCGCCAAUCCACCAACCAGAACAGGAUGCAAUAUAUUUUCAUAUUUGAAACGCAGGGUAACGACCACUGAGUCGUCUUCAACCUCAGACCAUCAAAUUUCAACUUCC